AUUGAACGCUGGCGGCAUGCCUAACACAUGCAAGUCGAGCGGAUGAAGGGAGCUUGCUCCUGGAUUCAGCGGCGGACGGGUGAGUAAUGCCUAGGAAUCUGCCUGGUAGUGGGGGAUAACGUCCGGAAACGGGCGCUAAUACCGCAUACGUCCUGAGGGAGAAAGUGGGGGAUCUUCGGACCUCACGCUAUCAGAUGAGCCUAGGUCGGAUUAGCUAGUUGGUGGGGUAAAGGCCUACCAAGGCGACGAUCCGUAACUGGUCUGAGAGGAUGAUCAGUCACACUGGAACUGAGACACGGUCCAGACUCCUACGGGAGGCAGCAGUGGGGAAUAUUGGACAAUGGGCGAAAGCCUGAUCCAGCCAUGCCGCGUGUGUGAAGAAGGUCUUCGGAUUGUAAAGCACUUUAAGUUGGGAGGAAGGGCAGUAAGUUAAUACCUUGCUGUUUUGACGUUACCAACAGAAUAAGCACCGGCUAACUUCGUA
rnacentral:rRNA from 1 species